rnacentral:rRNA from 1 species
GAAAUUUCCCGGCCGCGAAAAUCGCCCUUCUUAAAGGAAUCGACGGGGGCCCGCACAAGCGGAGGAACAUGUGGUUUAAUUCGAUGAUACGCGAGGAACCUUACCCGGGCUUGAACUGCAGCGGAAGGAUACAGAGAUGUUGACGCCCUUCGGGGUCGCUGUGGAGGUGCUGCAUGGUUGUCGUCAGCCCGUGCCGUGAGGUGUCGGCUUAAGUGCCAUAACGAGCGCAACCCUUUUCAUUAGUUGCCAUCAGGUAAUGCUGGGCACUCUGGUGAUACUGCCACCGUAAGGUGUGAGGAAGGNGGGGAUGACGUCAAAUCAGCACGGCCCUUACGUCCGGGGCUACACACGUGUUACAAUGGUAGGUACAGAGAGUCGGAUGUACGCAAGUACAUUCUAAUCCUAAAAGCCUUCCUCAGUUCGGAUUGGGGUCUGCAACCCGACCCCAUGAAGCUGGAUUCGCUAGUAAUCGCGCAUCAGCCAUGGCGNGGUGAAUACGUUCCCGGGCCUUGUACACACCGCCCGUC